rnacentral:rRNA from 1 species
AGUGAACGCUGGCGGUAGGCCUAACACAUGCCAGUCGAACGGCAGCACAGUAAGAGCUUGCUCUUACGGGUGGCGAGUGGCGGACGGGUGAGGAAUACAUCGGAAUCUACUUUUUCGUGGGGGAUAACGUAGGGAAACUUACGCUAAUACCGCAUACGACCUACGGGUGAAAGCAGGGGAUCUUCGGACCUUGCGCGAUUGAAUGAGCCGAUGUCGGAUUAGCUAGUUGGUGGGGUAAAGGCCCACCAAGGCGACGAUCCGUAGCUGGUCUGAGAGGAUGAUCAGCCACACUGGAACUGAGACACGGUCCAGACUCCUACGGGAGGCAGCAGUGGGGAAUAUUGGACAAUGGGCGCAAUCCUGAUCCAGCCAUACCGCGUGGGUGAAGAAGGCCUUCGGGUUGUAAAGCCCUUUUGUUGGGAAAGAAAAGCAGCAGGUUAAUACCCCGCUGUUCUGACGGUACCCAAAGAAUAAGCACCGGCUAACUUCGUG